rnacentral:rRNA from 1 species
UACGUAGGGUGCGAGCGUUAAUCGGAAUUACUGGGCGUAAAGCGUGCGCAGGCGGUUCGUUAUGUCUGAUGUGAAAGCCCCGGGCUCAACCUGGGAAUGGCAUUGGAAACUGGCGAGCUUGAGUGUGGCAGAGGGGGGUGGAAUUCCGCGUGUAGCAGUGAAAUGCGUAGAGAUGCGGAGGAACACCGAUGGCGAAGGCAGCCCCCCUGGGCUAACACUGACGCUCAGGCACGAAAGCGUGGGGAGCAAACGGG